CAGUCGCCGCGGGAAUACGAAGGGGGCUAGCGUUGCUCGGAAUGACUGGGCGUAAAGGGCGCGUAAGCGGCAUAUACAGUCAGGCGUGAAAUUCCCGGGCUUAACCUGGGGGCUGCGUUUGAUACGUAUGGGCUAGAGUGAGGAAGAGGGUCGUGGAAUUCCCAGUGUAGAGGUGAAAUUCGUAGAUAUUGGGAAGAACACCGGUGGCAAAGGCGGCGACCUGGUCCUUUACUGACGCUGAGGCGCGAAAGCGUGGGGAGCAAACAGGAUUAGAUACCCGGGUAGUCCCUGUCUCUUAUAC
rnacentral:rRNA from 1 species